CAGGGUGAUCAUACCAAUUUUAAUGCACUGGAUCCCAUCAGAACUCUGCAGUUAAGAACACUUGGGCUAGAGUAGUACUGGGAUGGGUGACCUCCCGGGAAGUCCUAGUGUUGCACUGU
rnacentral:rRNA from 1 species